AAUCAACGCUGGCGGCGUGCCUCAGACAUGCAAGUCGUACGAUUAAAGCUCUCUUCGGAGAGUGUAUAGAGUGGCGCACGGGUGAGUAACACGUAAGUAAUCUACCUUCGAGUGGGGAAUAACAGUCGGAAACGACUGCUAAUACCGCAUAAUGCAGCGGCACCUAAUGGUGACAGUUGUUAAAGCAUUUAUGUGCUUGAAGAGGAGCUUGCGGCAGAUUAACUAGUUGGUAAGGUAAUGGCUUACCAAGGCAACGAUCUGUAGCCGACCUGAGAGGGUGGUCGGUCACACUGACACUGAAUAACGGGUCAGACUCCUACGGGAGGCAGCAGUGGGGAAUCUUGCGCAAUGGGCGAAAGCCUGACGCAGCGACGCCGCGUGAGGGAUGACGGCCUC
rnacentral:rRNA from 1 species